rnacentral:ncRNA from 1 species
GUGUUCGUAGAAAGGAGAGAUGGUUUGCAUCUCCCCAGACAGGGACGGGAAUAACAUUCGGGUUUUACCUGUUAUCGAUCAGACACAUCCUGUUAAGGGUACCCACUUCAAUGGAUAAUGUUAUAAACUAACAAAGGUUGUAG